UAGUAGAUGCUCUAAACGCUUAAAACCAUGCCGCUCCCGUGCUGUUCCUAACCCACGCCUCCACGCCACAUCCAUGGCCACCCUCAUCCCUCGUGCUCCACCACCAAAUCCCCACCGUCACUUCCUUCUCCACCGACCACCGACCCUAUCCCCCCAGCUCCGCCUGCGCCUCCCUGUUCGCCGCCUCCGCCUCGCUUCCCCGGUCGCGGCCAUUGCCACGGUGACGGCCGCCGUGCCCCCCGACGACAUCUCGCAGCUCAAUAACCGUCUCCGCGCGCUCGUCCGCCGCCGCGGUGUCUCUUCCGCUGCCACAUCUCCCAUGGACCCCGCCCAGGCGGACGCCUACCUCCACAUGAUCCGCGAGCAGCAGCGCCUCGGCCUCCGCCAGCUCCGCCGGCACUCGGCCGAACCGGAAUACGAGAGAGACGUCGGAAGCAACGGGGAGGACGAGGAGGAGGGCGCCGGAAGGAGGAAGGGGAUGGCGGCCAGGAGCUCUUUGGGGCACCGUGUGGACCCGCGUGAGCUGGAGCCCGGCGAGUACGUCGUUCACAAGAAAGUCGGCGUCGGCAAGUUCGUCUGUAUAAGCGGAGAGGACGGAGAGGACUACGUGUUCAUUCAGUAUGCGGACGCCAUGGCGAAGCUUGCAGUCGACCAGGCAGCACGCAUGCUCUACCGAUACAACCUUCCUCAUGAGAAAAAGAGGCCAAGGAAUCUAAGCAAGCUGAAUGAUCCUUCUACAUGGGAGAAGAGGAGGCUGAAAGGAAAGCUUGCUGUUCAGAAGAUGGUGGUCAACUUGAUGGAGUUAUAUUUACAAAGGAUGAGGCAGAGAAGGCCGCCGUACCGAAAGCCUGAGGCGAUGGAUCAGUUUGCUUCUGAAUUUCCUUACGAGCCUACCCCAGACCAAAACCAGGCUUUCAUAGAUAUUGAGAAUGAUCUGACUGAAAGGGAAACACCAAUGGACAGAUUGAUCUGUGGAGAUGUCGGGUUUGGUAAAACGGAAGUUGCAAUGCGUGCUAUAUUCAUCGUUGUAUCUACAGGAUAUCAAGCUAUGGUUCUCGCACCAACUGUAAUACUAGCCAAUCAACACUAUGAUGUAAUGUCUGAGCGUUUCUCCAACUACCCUGACAUAAAGGUCGCCAUAUUCAGCGGUGCUCAGAGCAAGGAUGAAAAGGAUGAGCUAAUAACAAAAAUUACGAAUGGGCAUUUGCAAAUAAUUGUUGGAACUCAUGCUCUUCUUACAGAACGGAUGGCCUAUAACAAUCUCGGUCUCCUAGUGGUGGAUGAGGAACAGAAGUUCGGUGUACAACAAAAGGAGAAGAUUGCAUCAUUCAAAGCUUCUAUUGAUGUUCUUACCCUGUCCGCAACACCCAUUCCACGAACUCUGUAUCUUGCUUUAACCGGUUUCCGUGAUGCAAGUUUAAUGUCUACACCACCUCCGGAAAGAGUCGCUGUCAAGACCUAUGUGUCAGCAUUUAGUAGAGAAAGUGCUCUAUCAGCUAUCAAAUUGGAGUUGAAGCGUGGCGGUCAAGUUUUCUAUGUUGUUCCUCGAAUAAAAGCCAUAGACGAUGUAUUGCAAUUUCUCAAGGACUCUCUUCCAGAUGUACCGAUGGCUAUUGCUCAUGGAAAGAAAGUGUCAAAGAAUAUACAACUUGCUAUGGAAAAGUUUUCUUGUGGGGAAAUAAAGAUUCUUGUAUGCACACAUAUCAUUGAAAGUGGAAUAGAUAUUCCAAAUGCCAACACAAUGAUAGUCCAGUAUGCAGAACUAUUUGGGCUCGCACAGCUGUAUCAGUUGCGAGGAAGAGUAGGAAGAUCAGGUAGAGAGGGUUUCACAUACCUCUUCUACACUGACAAGUCUUUGCUUUCCAGAAUUGCCAUGGAUAGACUUGGAGCUAUUGAAGAGCAUUCUGAUCUCGGUCAAGGUUUCCAUGUCGCAGAGAAGGAUAUGGGUAUUAGGGGAUUUGGAAGCAUGUUUGGUGAGCAACAAUCUGGAGACGUUGCAAAUGUUGGCAUCGAUCUGUUCUUUGAUAUGCUUUUUGACAGCUUGUCCAAGGUUGAUCACUUUCGUCUUAAACCCAUUCCUUACAAAGAUGUUCAGCUGGACAUUAACAUUUCUCCGCAUCUCUCUUCUGAAUACAUAAGUUAUCUUGAAAAUCCUGUUGAAUUGCUCAAUGAAGCAGCGAAAGCUGCAGAACAAGAUAUAUGGAACUUAAUGCAAUUCACAGAAGAUCUUCGUCGACAGUAUGGGAAGGAGCCCCGUGAUAUGGAGUUGCUAUUAAAAAAGCUCUAUGUAAGGCGGAUGGCAGCAGAUCUUGGUAUCAGCCGGAUAUAUCCAUCUGGCAAAAUGAUCAUCAUGAAAACAAACAUGAACAGGAAAGUUUUUAGGCUCAUGGAAGAAACCAUGGCUUCUGAGACGCAUCGCAAUUCUUUGUCAUUCACUGGAAAGGAAAUUAAGGACAACGCUGGACAUGGCUUGCAUGCUCAUUGGUUUUGCUCCCAUCCGUGCUCCACACCUACUUAAUGAGCAUUGGACGGCUGAACUUCUGGUCAAUCUGCCAGACACACUACUUCUGAACUGGCUUUUUCAUUGCUUAGCGGAUUGCUAUGCAAUAAUGCCAGCCCUUGUGAGAUACUAGAUUCUUUGAUUGAAAUGAAGGUUAUGACAAGCACUAUAACCUGGAAUGAACUAUUCAUGUUCGAGAAAAUGAAAAGGCAAGACACAGAUAUUCAAUUAAUCGGUCAAUUUUCAGUUAAUUGGCCAUGGGACGGUCUCUUCUUUUGUUGGUGUUGUCACUUCAGGCAAUUAAUCAGCCAUUGGUGUGUUGGUAUUGUCACUUCAGGCAAAUGUGUACCAAUAAUAUGCAACAUUGUUAAGAAAAUCUGUGAAAGUGUAGUGUGACAGAUUAUACCUAUACGUUAACUGGAUGCCCAAAUGGAAAGGCGUGAACUGCAUUUCUGCAUCCACUGACAGUUUUGUUUAGCUAGCAGUGGCUGGUGUGAUGCACAAUUGAUAUCCUGAAAUGCUGUUCGUCAAUGGCGUUAAAGAAUUCUGGUUCAGAUUCUUAUUGCAGGGAAGAUCUCCAAGAUUCUUCUGAGGCUUUCUGAUGGAGAAAAUCCAGCAUUGUGACUAACAGGUGCAUAGGGUUCAUGACUGGUAACGUAUAGUUUUGUAAUCGGAGUGCGCUGUAUUAGGUGGGGAGAUUGAGUGAUUGAUUAGUAAUCAGAAUGCGCUGUAUUAGGCGGGGAGAUUGAGUGAUUGAUUACUUUCCCUUUGAUUCAGCGAAGGGUUGGUUUCUCUUUUUUUUAGGGGAACUAAAACUUUAUUGAUUAACUCAUUCCAGAGGUA